rnacentral:rRNA from 1 species
AACGAACGCUGGCGGCGUGGCUAAGGCAUGCAAGUCGAGCGAACCUACUUCAAGGGUAACUGAGAGGUUGGUUAGCGGCGGACGGGUGAGGAAUACAUGGGUAACGUGCCCCGGACUCAGGGAUAGCGUUUAGAAAUGAACGGUAAUACCUGAUGACCCCGUAGGACCGCAUGAUCCAGCGGGCAAAGUUCCGGCGGUCUGGGAGCGGCUCAUGUCCUAUCAGCUAGUUGGCGGGGAACGGCCCACCAAGGCUGCAACGGGUACCGGGCGUGAGAGCGCGACCCGGCACAUCGGAACUGAGACACGGUCCGGACACCUACGGGUGGCUGCAGCAACGAAUAUUCCGCAAUGGACGAAAGUCUGACGGAGCGACGCCGCGUGGAGGA